GGAGACUUAGGGCAGGAGGACUGGUCAGGGAGGAGUUAGGGCAGGAGGACCGGUCAGGGAGGAGUUAGGGCAGGAGGACCGGUCAGGGAGGAGACUUAGGGCAGGGGGAUUCGUCAGGGAGGAGUUAGGGCAGGAGGACCGGUCAGGGAGGAGUUAGGGCAGGAGGACUGGUCAGGGAGGAGUUAGGGCAGGAGGACAGGUCAGGGAGGAGUUAGGGCAGGAGGACGGGUCAGGGAGGAGUUAGGGCAGGAGGAUCGGUCAGGGAGGAGUUAGGGCAGGAGGACCGGUCAGGGAGGAGUUAGGGCAGGAGGACCGGUCAGGGAGGAGUUAGGGCAGGAGGACAGGUCAGGGAGGAGACUUAGGGCUGGAGGACUGGUCAGGGAGGAGUUAGGGCAGGAGGACCAGUUAGGAGGCAGUGACUUAGGACUUCAGCAGUGGCACUAGAAAGGGGAUGGAUAUGAACGACAUUGCAAAGUAAAACUAGAGAGACGGCCGGGCACAGUGGCUCACUCCUGUAAUCCCAGCACUUUGGGAGGCCAAGGCGGGUGGAUCAUGAGGUCAGGAGAUCGAGACCAGCCUGGCCAACAUGGUGAAAC
rnacentral:lncRNA from 1 species